CCCUUAGACGUCCUGGGCCGCACGCGUGCUACACUGACGCAUACAGCGAGCACUUUCCAGUUCCGAGAGGCUACUGGUAAUCAUCAAUAUGCGUCGUGAUGGGGAUAGAUCUUUGGAAUUCUGGAUCUUGAACGAGGAAUGCCUAGUAAUCGCAGGUCAUUAGCCUGCGAUGAUUAAGUCCCUGCCCUUUGUACACACCGCCCGUCGCUACUACCGAUUUCGAGUGGUCAGGUGAAUCUUUCGGACUGUGGGCGCCCUUGAGGUGUUCGCGGAAAGUCAGGUAAAUCUUAUCACUUAGAGGAAGUAAAAGUCGUAACA
rnacentral:rRNA from 1 species